UACGAAGGGGGCUAGCGUUGUUCGGAAUUACUGGGCGUAAAGGGCGCGUAGGCGGUGUGUCAAGUCAGGCGUGAAAGCCCCGGGCUCAACCUGGGAACAGCGCUUGAGACUGGCACGCUCGAGUUCGGGAGAGGAUGGUGGAAUUCCUGGUGUAGAGGUGAAAUUCGUAGAUAUUAGGGAAGAAACACCGGUGGCGAAGGCGGCCUGCUGGGCAGUGGCUGACGCUGAGGCGCGACAGCGUGGGGGAGCAAACAGG
rnacentral:rRNA from 1 species